UUAUCUCAGAAUAAUAGUUCAUGCAUACGAGAUUCAUGCAUAGUUUAAUUACGCAUUCUCAUUUAAUUGAGAAUUUUCCCUCGAUUUAAAGUCUUACGUUAUUUUCUCGGAUUAAAGGUCGAGCGCAAGAAUAAGAGCUCGUCAAGGAGUCACUAAUCUGUAGCAAAGCUUUGCUAUCAGGUGGGCAUUACUUUCAUAUAUAUCAAAUGAGUUUAAAUGUUACGUUCAAGCAAGUUAUUUCAUGACUAAAUUAAUUGAAGUUAUUUCAAAUAUUGUCUUGCCAUAAAAUGUUUAAAUUUCAGUAUGAUAUCUAUCUGAUGUGACUUUAAUCAUGUAAUCGAAUUCGGGUCUUGAGCAGUUGAUAUCUAUCCUGCCAGGGCUAGUGUACACCAGUGACCGUGAGUCAUCUAGCGGGUUGGCCGGUCAAGUGACCGUGAGAGGUGGCCACCUCUCCGGCACACAGUUCCAGAUAUGAUAGAUUACAAAAGAACUUAGUCUGCAGACGAACUUUAAGAAUCACAAAUGAAUUUAGUAAGCUUGGGCCUUUUUAGAGAAAAACUCCCUUGCUGUACUGUUUAUGAUGGCAUGACAAUUUACAACUUUACGAAGCAUGUUAUAUUUCAUAGUGGGCAUUACUUUCAUAUAUAUCAAAUGAGUUUAAAUGUUACGUUCAAGCAAGUUAUUUCAUGACUAAAUUAAUUGAAGUUAUUUCAAAUAUUGUCUUGCCAUAAAAUGUUUAAAUUUCAGUAUGAUAUCUAUCUGAUGUGACUUUAAUCAUGUAAUCGAAUUCGGGUCUUGAGCAGUUGAUAGCUAUCCUGCCAGGGCUAGUGUACACCAGUGACCGUGAGUCAUCUAGCGGGUUGGCCGGUCAAGUGACCGUGAGAGGUGGCCACCUCUCCGGCACACAGUUCCAGAUAUGAUAGAUUACAAAAGAACUUAGUCUGCAGACGAACUUUAAGAAUCACAAAUGAAUUUAGUAAGCUUGGGCCUUUUUAGAGAAAAACUCCCUUGCUGUACUGUUUAUGAUGGCAUGACAAUUUACAACUUUACGAAGCAUGUUAUAUUUCAUAGUAGGCAUAUGUGCCCACUGAGUACUUUUGUACUCAGCCCUGCAUAUAUUUCUAAAUGUGCAGGUUGAGCAGCUGCCGAUGGUGAUGAAGUGACGAGCGGGACUCUUUUGUCUUAUUAUGUAUUAAUGAACUCUAGGGUUACAUGUCUUCAUACAUGUAAUCAGAACCUUAUUCCGCUGCGUACUCAGAAGUUUUAUGUUAUUUUGGAUAAGUCGGAGUUAUCCGAACUUACUAGUUAUUUGAGUCUAUACGACUAAAACUCCGUUAUAUUAUAAAUAUCCCUGUUGUUAACAAUGAU